GUUUGUUAUAAUAUUUUUUACUAUUAUCAUGUAUAUAAUGUAUAGUCAUGUUUAUGUCACUGUUUCAUUUUGUAGAAAAACCACAGCCACAACCAAACAGUCUGUUGAGUGGUGACAAUAAAUGGGUUAGUCUUAUAAAAAACAAGUGCAUCUUCGUUUCGUUUCUAAUCAGACAGUCUUUGGUGGGUCAGUACCCGGAGCCGGUAAAUAGUUCUAUAUGGUGAAGAGCUAUAAAAGCAAACAAUUUUACACUGAUUUUUGCCUGUCCUGGGAUCUUCCAUUUCCAACCUCCACCAAUCGUGUCUGGCUGUUCCAGGAAUUGCUUUCACAUGCAGUAAUUAUUUUUAUAAAUUACCUUGUUAGUAUUUAUAUUGGAGGUUGGCCGUGUAACUCAUGUUACAUCUGUGCCUACGGUCUCUUUCCUAUAAAAUAGUGCCUCUGUGUAAAUGUUACCUUCUGUCCUGUCAAUUCUGUCUGCAGGUACUUCACCAUGUUAAACAGCCAAUUAAACAAAUACGGAAAGGCCUUAAACAAACAGGAAUCUGGCCACUUCUUUUAGAUAGGCCAGAUGUCCACCCCUUAAUUUUCCCAAGGGAGUCAAGUGAGGAGCUUAACCCACAGACCGUGAUCCAGAGCAUUACCUGGCCACAACCCAAUGUUGACAGCGACAAGGAUGAGGACGACACUGUUCCAUUGGAGAAAAUCAGUCUUGUCACUGGAUUUUUGAGAAAAUUCAUAGAGGAAGCGUCACCAGAUGUGCUGCGUGACCUGAUGAAGUUUUGGGUGGGGUGGGAACUGCCAACAACAAAACUCAAUGUUGAGGUUGUGACCUCAACUUAUCCAGUGGCUCACACCUGCUUCUUCAAGUUGAAGCUCCCCAGCCACUACCAGACCUACAAGAUUUUUCACCAGGACUUGAUGAUGGCCCUCAGUUCUUCUCUUUGAGAGCUGUGGCAGCUUUCUUGGCCUCUCUAGUUCAUUAAGCUCAGACUUCCAUAGACAUUUAGUUGUAAUUAUUGAACAGUUUAUACAGCUAGUACAUGUUUAAUACAUUCAGAUAUUUAGGUAGAUACUAGUUUCUCCAGUGUUACUGUUGCCCUUUUACAGUAAUGUUCUAAAUGAUUAAUGUUCUAACAAUGUUGGUUUUGUAAAGCCGAUUUGUCUAAAUUUGUUACCCCUUUACAGUGAUGUGUUGUAAAUACAACUGUACUGCUACAUUUGUUAAAUUUACACAAGACUUGUGUUCCCUUGAACAACAUUAAAGGUGUUAAACAAGCAUUUUUAUGGUCUUAUUCUUU
ensembl:lncRNA